rnacentral:lncRNA from 1 species
UUGAAGUUGACAACAAGAAUUAAUGGUCAUUGUUUAACAACUUCCUAAUGCUAGUUUAAGCCAAAUGAAGAGAUUUGAAUCCAUCUUUUAUCUCUCUAUAGAUGUAUGCAUGCAUAUAUAGUUAUUCAUGGCUUCUAUCGGUUGGGGCGAAUUAUCAUCAUUGGCAAAAUUUGGGAUUUAUGUUUUCUUUUCUUUUCUUCUCUGGGUGGUGAUUAUGUUGGAUUUGAUCUUCCAGUUUUGUCUGUAACUUCACUUCUUUUUGGCCUUGCCUUUCUAUAUAUAGACUGAAUUAAUAAAAUUUUCUGUUGUAGGACUUGGAUCAUGAUAGGCAAGGUGAUGGUUCUCUAUUUGGACUGGGUGAAUUUGGUUUAAAAUCAAUCAAAACAGGAUCUCCGCAUGCAGAUAAUCUGUACCAGGGAAAGCACACAUCUAUUUUUGCAGAUUCUGUUCCAAGCACACCUGCAUAUGACCAGGGUAGGAGUUUGUUCGCUGAUUCUGUUCCAAGCACACCUGCAUAUAACCAGGGUAGGAGCUUGUUCGCUGAUUCUGUUCCAAGCACCCCUGCAUAUAACCAGGGGAAAAGCACAUUUGCAUUUGCAGAUUCUGUUCCUAGCACCCCAGCCUAUAACCAGGGGAGGAGCUCCUUUGGAUUUGCAGAUUCUGUUCCUGGCACCCCAGCCUAUAACCAGGGGAAGAGCUCACUCGGAUUUGCAGACUCUGUUCCCAGCACUCCUGCCUAUAAGUUCAAUGAAGGGUCAGAUGAUCAUUCUUUUGACAGCUUCUCUAGGUUUGAU